UCCAAAAACUUAAAUUUUGGUCCAAUAUUGAUAGAGCAUCUUAAUCUCUGGACAAAAACCUAUCGUUUGAAGAUAAUACACACCUGAUCGAAUCAGUUUUUGUAUUGAUUCCAAGUGAUUUUAGAAAACUUGUUCAAAAAAGUGACUUUAUCAGUAAAUCGAAUAGGGGGGGGGGGGGGUUUAAGAAUGUCUAAAUGAUCCUAAAAUUUUGCAGAACUUGAUUUGAACAAAUCUGUAAUUUCUGCGACCGAAAACAUCGUUCUACCUUUUUUAAAACAACUUCCUCCGCGGAAUUUUUGGCGAUUUUUUUUUACACGCGAAAAAAGGUUGGAACGAUGUUAUUGAUCGCAAAAAUUACAGAUUUGAUCAAAUUAAGUUCUGCAAUGUUCUAGAAUCAUCUAGACAUCCUAACAAAUCACUGGAAAGAAGAAUCAUCUUGAUUGGUUGAGUUAUGCCCGAGAACCAUUGAGUUGAAGUUACCGUUCCGACUUUUUUGGAGCCUUGGGCGUUGGAAUGUUAAGAAGUGAGCACCUGAAAUUCCUCGACAUGACCUCAAAAUGGGACAGGCUAAUGUAGAACCUUCAUUAAAUUUUGAACAACUUUCCCGAAGACACCAUAUUUUUAGGAUUUUUUGCUGUAAAGUUAUUAGCUUCCGAAACGGACCCUUUUUGCGCAGACGGCUCUAAGGGGCUAAAUAGGAACAAUUAUUUUUGAAAGCACGUGCGUACGCGCUUGCCUGCCUGCCUGCCUGGCAGUGCGUUUAUUAUGUUGCCCCUUUGAGCGGACUGCGCAAAAAUGGUCCAAGAAUUGAUAAAGAUUGGACGAAUAUUGCGCCCUCCACAGGUAAAAAACUGAAACAGUGGCUUUUCUCCAUACAUUUUGAGGAUUUUUCCCAUACAAACUUCAAGCGAUUAGAGGGAGGGGUUCCCGUGGUCAGAAUGAGUUCAAAUUUGGAAUUUAGCCUAGUGAUGGGUCAAUCUUUCAUUUCAGGGGGUAGCCCCAAAAAAGCCCGGAUUUGGACCACCCUAUGAGACACUCUACGAAAAUCAAUACUUUUCUAGCAAAGCAUCAUGUUUUUGUGUUGUACCAUUGCAGGUGCCAGUUUCAUUGUGAGCCAGUUUCAUCUAAAUAAUUAAUGAUUUUUUUUUUUCAAUUGUGGUACAUUUAAUUUCAAAAACAAAACCAUAUACUUCUAAAACAUGUAGACAGCAGCUGUAACGUUUUCCAAGAUUUCGAAAUGAUUGACAAACAAAAAAAGUUCGGACGGUGUCGAAAUCAACACAACUGGAUUCGUUCUUUAUCAGGUAAUAAAUCAAAUUAAUCUUUGUGAUUUUCUUACAUUUUUCAGUUUUAUACUUUCCAGAAAUCCUCCUCCUUAAUCAUGCUUCACGAGAGUUUUAUUCAUGUUAAUUCAUAAUUUUUAACACGGUAAUGUAUCAUACACUUUUUCUUAAGUGUUACUUACAAGAUCAAUUUCAAUUUCCUGCUAGCUCUGCAGGAUUGCGUGUCGUUCUUGCUAUGUCCUGUGAGCUGAUUUGCUAAUGAUUAUUUGGGAUGAAAUCUUAUUUCAAUAAAUAACCAGGUAGCAGUUAUUGGUCAGCGCGCCCGAGUGCUUCUAGGAGAUGCGGCGAAUAAAGCUAAUUCAGGUAAUCUCAAAUACUUAAAACUUUAAAAUUCGAUAUCUCUGGAACGAAACAUAUUCCUUUCUGUCGAUAAGUGAUUUUUAUGUUUUAUUGAUAAAGAUUGGACGAAUAUUGCGCCCUCCACAGGUAAAAAACUGAAACAGUGGCUUUUCUCCAUACAUUUUGAGGAUUUUUCCCAUACAAACUUCAAGCGAUUAGAGGGAGGGGUUCCCGUUGUCAGAAUGAGUUCAAAUUUGGAAUUUAGCCUAGUGAUGGGUCAAUCUUUCAUUCCAGGGGGUAGCCCCAAAAAAGCCCGGAUUUGGACCACCCUAUGAGACACUCUACAAAAAUCAAUACUUUUCUAGCAAAGGCAUCAUGUUUUACAACACAAAAACAUGAUGCUUUGCUAGAAAAGUAUUGAUUUUCGUUGCAGGUAACUUGCCUUGAACAUAUUAAAGUAUUUUUUCCAACUUGAAUCUGUAAUUUACAAAAGUUAUACUUAAAAGUAUUUAAAUUUCGUAAAAUCCAUAUAUUUAUAAAAAAACACUUUAUAAUUUUGGUAAAAUAGAGUUAAAACUCAAUAAAUAUGGCAAUAAUUACUUUCAAUUCAUGUUUUGAAAGAUUUACAUAGAUUUUGAAAAGUUUAAUGAAGGAAAAUCAAAGUGUCUCAUUGUUACCCAUGGGUUGAAAGAAGUGGGAAACGAUGAAUUUUGGUCAAACCCAGCGAUGGAAUAAUCACCAUCAAAAGAAAAUCAUUGGAAGUUCAUCAAGAAAAAUAAUCCGAAGGGAGUAUGGCUCUUCUCUCUCGCGCACGAAUGAUCGGUAAAAAGAAUCUAAAAAACUCAUCAUCUUGAUUAUUCGGCGGAAUUUCAUUUUCACUACUACACUAGCAAGUGUAAUGUCACACGUCGAAAUAUGACCUGUCACAUUUUGUAGAUGGGCAAUGUGCGUAAACAAAGUGAAAUAAAUGUUUUUAGGUGGUGCUAACAAGGAAAUUCAUAAAAAAUCAUCAGCAGAUUGAUUUUCUCGGAGAUGUUCGGUUUUAUUCUCAGUGAUUUGCAUCCUCUCUCUUUCGCGGGUGAAGAAAGUUUGCAAACAAAAUUGAUUUUUUUGCGAUUAUUCCAUCCCUGGUCAAACCUAAUGAAAGGACAUUGUAGCCCAACUCAUUCCCUAUGGAAGUGACGAAUGACCUCUCUAGGUUAAAGUCACGUUAAUAAAAUAAACAACAACAUUCCCUAUGGAGCAUCGAAAGAAACCUGAAGAAAUAUAAAUUUAGUGUCAGCCUACGAGCGAAAAAGUAAUUUUUGUCCAUAAUUUACUUUUACACCCCAGAAUCAAACAUUUAUGAAUAACUUUUCAAGGGAGCGCCCAUAACCAAAGCCACUAUUAUGGUAGACGUGUAGACACACCUUUCCCCCAAAUAUGAGCCUGAUUGGUUGAAACUACGACUUGUAAGAGCCAUUUUAUCAUUGUUCCCCGUGUCUCAUUUAUGACUACUCUACCCUGUCUCCGGUUUUGUUGAACAAAGUAAUGCAUAGUUUUAGUUUUUUCUAUAAGUGCACAUGAUUUUGAAUCAAUCUGUAAAGUAAUGAAAAUGUAUAUGGGUCUGGGUCAUUCCAUCUGAAGCGGAACAGCAUUUGAAAAUUACCAUCUCCGAUUCUGCUUAAAUUUGGCAGAGCUGUUGAGACUAUCAAAACAUGCAAAAAUCCCGAAUUUCAUCCAAAUCGGACCACCCCUUCCAUUUUUGUACCCUCCCGAAAAAUCGACUUUUUGGCGAUUUUUGAGCGAACCCCUUAUCUUCAAACGACGAUAACUCAGAAACCACAAAUCUUAGAGGGUCGGUCUUAGACUCAAUUUUGUAGGAAAUUGGACGUAGAAUCCAUUUCCGUGAUCAAAAUUUAGAUUAAAAUAUAUUUCUUACCUGUAUUGCGCAAUUGAAAACUUUAUAAGGCCGUAUCUCAAAACAGCCCUAUUUAUUGUUCUAAAUUUGACCUCACCAUCGUAUUCCCCGGCCAAUUUUACAUUAGAAUCACUUAUCGACAGAAAGGAAUAUGUUUCGUUCCAGAAUUAUCGAAUUUUAAAGUUUUAAGAAUGUAAGAUUACCCACAUCAUCUACACAUGCCGCAUCUGCUAGAAGCCCUCAGUCGUGCUGAUCUAUAAUUACUACCUGGUGUUCUGUAAGAUGAAUUAUUUUUAUAAUUUUAUACGAUUUUGAGAUAAUCAAUACCUUGAACAAUCUAUUUUUUUAAGGAAUAUUUAUUGGGUAAUUUUCAAUGCACUGUUUUUCCUGAUCUCAGUGUUAUUGAACCAUAUUAAGUAAAAUUUGAACUUAUUAUAUUUAUUUGCAAAUGCUAUAGAGUUUAUAUAAUACAAUAUUCAAAAAUUUAUCAUUAUUCAUCGAUUAUUUUUAUAUUUCCCCUUAUUCCUCAUUUCUUCCCACUUUAUCAAAUUAUUUCUCUUAUUUCUUCUUUUAUUUUAAAAGAGAUCAAAUGUAGAGCUGGCUGUAGUAGAUGAAAUAAUUCUCAUGGGUUCUAGAGCUUUUGCCAAGUGCGGUAGUGAAACCGCGGUGUAGGGGUAAGCGUGAUUGCCUCUCACCCAGUCGGCCUGGGUUCGAUCCCAGACGGUCCCGGUGGCAUUUUUCGAGACGAGAUUUGUCUGAUCACGCCUUUCGUCGGACGGGAAGUAAAUGUUGGCCCCGGACUAACCUCUAAUGGUUAGGUCGUUAGCUCAUUCCAGGUGUAGGAGUCGUCUCCCUGGGUCCUGCCUCGGUGGAGUCGCUUGUAGGCAGUUGGACUAACAAUCCAAAGGUCGUCAGUUCGAAUCCCGAGGUGGAUGGAAACUAAGGUGUAAAAAGAGGUUUGCAAUUGCCUCAACAAUCAAGCCUUCGAACACCUAGUUUCGAGUAAGAAUCUCGCAAUCGAGAACGCCAAGGCAAUGCUGUAGAGCGAAUAAUUUGAUUUGAUUUUUUUUAUUUUUUGGUAGUGAAAUAGUGCCGUUCAGCAAAAACCCCUAAAUCUGCAUUACGGUUUGAAAGAUUGAUCAUAUUAACGGUGCACAUCAACUAGAGCUUUUGCACCCAGAUUUUUGUUACAGACAUUUUAGUAUCUUCAAAACUACGGGUACUAUCGAAAUAUUUUUUUAUUCAUCCCCUAAAGUACUGUCCACCAAGUAAUUUACAGCAAUGUAUCAUUAAUUUUACAGUCCCGUAGUUGCAGGAUUGGGUUCGUAAGUUUGACAAUUUUGGUAUAAGAAGACAACAACUUCCUUCGUUGCUGUGCACCCUUAAACCGUAUUUUUAUAUUGUGAGCCAGUUUCAUCUAAAUAAUUAAUGAUUUUUUUUUCAAUUGUGGUACAUUUAAUUUCAAAAACAAAACCAUAUACUUCUGAUACAUGUGGACAGCAGCUGUAACGUUUUCCAAGAUUUCGAAAUGAUUGACAAACAAAAAAAGUUCGGACGGUGUCGAAAUCAACACCACUGGAUUCGUUUUUUAUCAGAAAUCCUCCUCCUUAAUCAUGCUUCACGAGAGUUUUAUUCAUGUUAAUUCAUAAUUUUUAACACGGUAAUGUAUCAUACACUU